AUGAAUUGUCAGGUAUUGGUUUAGGGUUUUUGUGAUCCUGAGUUUGGCAGACUGCAAUGGCAUUUUAGGUUCUUUUAUACCAUAGCAAGGACACUGAAUAUGGCUUCAGGGAGGCCAUAGAAUGGAUUCCUAUCACUUGGUAACUUUGUCUCUUCUGGGGAGAGACCUCUUAUCCUAGUGAAUAGUUGUGCAACUUUGGAUUUAAGGGUGGUUCCACCCCUCCUCCCUUUCUUUUUCUCUCUCUUUUUUUUCAGUUCCUUCUUGGAGGGACCACUCAGUAGAGCCUCUAAGGGACCCAAAUCCUUCAGACCUUUUGGAGAACCUGGAUGACAGUGUGUUUUCGAAGCGGCAUGCAAAACUGGAGCUGGAUGAGAAGAGAAGGAAAAGAUGGGAUAUUCAGAGGAUCAGGGAACAAAGAAUUUUACAGCGACUGCAGCUCAGAAUGUAUAAAAAGAAAGGAAUUCAGGAAUCUGAGCCUGAGGUUACCUCAUUUUUCCCUGAGCCAGAUGAUGUUGAAAGUUUGAUGAUUACCCCCUUCUUGCCUGUUGUAGCAUUUGGACGACCAUUACCAA
rnacentral:lncRNA from 1 species